UUAGGAAUCUUGCGCAAUGGGCGAAAGCCUGACGCAGCAACGCCGCGUGUGGGAUGAAGGCUUUCGGGUUGUAAACCACUUUCAGCAGGAACGAAAUUGACGGUACCUGCAGAAGAAGCUCCGGCCAACUACGUGCCAGCAGCCGCGGUAAUACGUAGGGAGCAAGCGUUGUCCGGAUUUAUUGGGCGUAAAGAGCUCGUAGGCGGUUAAGUAAGUCAGGUGUGAAACCUCCAGGCUCAACCUGGAGACGCCACUUGAUACUGCUUUGACUUGAGUUCGGUAGGGGUAAGCGGAAUUCCUGGUGUAGCGGUGAAAUGCGCAGAUAUCAGGAGGAACACCGACGGCGAAGGCAGCUUACUGGGCCGAUACUGACGCUGAGGAGCGAAAGCGUGGGGAGCGAACAGGAUUAGAUACCCUGGUAGUCCACGCCGUAAACGUUGGGCACUAGGUGUGGGAGGUAAUCAACGCCUUCCGUGCCGUAGCUAACGCAUUAAGUGCCCCG
rnacentral:rRNA from 1 species